GACGAACGCUGGCGGCGUGCUUAACACAUGCAAGUCGAACGGAAAGGCCCGCUUCGGUGGGUGCUCGAGUGGCGAACGGGUGAGUAACACGUGGGUGAUCUGCCCUGCACUUCGGGAUAAGCUUGGGAAACUGGGUCUAAUACCGGAUAGGACCAUGGGAUGCAUGUCUUGUGGUGGAAAGCUUUUUGCGGUGUGGGAUGGGCCCGCGGCCUAUCAGCUUGUUGGUGGGGUGAUGGCCUACCAAGGCGACGACGGGUAGCCGGCCUGAGAGGGUGUCCGGCCACACUGGGACUGAGAUACGGCCCAGACUCCUACGGGAGGCAGCAGUGGGGAAUAUUGCACAAUGGGCGCAAGCCUGAUGCAGCGACGCCGCGUGGGGGAUGACGGCCUUCGGGUUGUAAACCUCUUUCACCAUCGACGAAGCUGCCGGUUUUCCGGUGGUGACGGUAGGUGAGAAGAAGCU
rnacentral:rRNA from 1 species